rnacentral:rRNA from 1 species
UAACACGUAGGGACCGAGCGUUGUCCGGAUUCAUUGGGCGUAAAGAGCUCGUAGGCGGUCGGGUAAGUCGGGUGUGAAAUCUCCGGGCUCAACUCGGAGGGGCCACCCGAUACUGCACGACUCGAGUCCGGUAGGGGAGUGGGGAAUUCCUGGUGUAGCGGUGAAAUGCGCAGAUAUCAGGAGGAACACCGGUGGCGAAGGCGCCACUCUGGGCCGGUACUGACGCUGAGGAGCGAAAGCGUGGGUAGCAAACAGGAUUAGAUACCCUGGUAGUCCACGCUGUAAACGUUGGGCACUAGGUGUGGGCUCUAACCAACGGAGUCCGUGCCGUAGCUAACGCAUUAAGUGCCCCGCCUGGGGAGUACGGCCGCAAGGUUA